rnacentral:misc_RNA from 1 species
GAUGAAGAACGCAGCGAAAUGCGAUAAGUAAUGUGAAUUGCAGAAUUCAGUGAAUCAUCGAAUCUUUGAACGCACCUUGCGCCCUUUGGCCAUUCCGAAGGGCAUGCCUGUUUGAGUAUCAUGAACACCUCAACUCUCAUGGCUCGCCAUGAUGAGCUUGGACUUUGGGGGUCUUGCUGGCCUGUGGUCGGCUCCUCUCAAAUGGAUCAGCUUGCCAGUGUUUGGUGGCAUCACAGGUGUGAUAACUAUCUGCGCUUGUGGUUUUCCAUCAGAUAACCUUCAGUGAUGGAGGUUCGCUGGAGCUCAUAAACGUCUCCCCUAAGCGGGGACAGCCCUUUGAAUGUUUUAUCUCAAAUCAGGUAGGACUACCCGCUGAACUUAAGCAUAUCAAUAAGCGGAGGA